GAGCAAUGUUUAGGCAGCGUCUUUAUUUACAAUAUCCUGAAAAGUGGAAACAUACCUGUGUGUAUGGGGGGGUAAUCACAGAUUCACCACAACAACAGUAGCACAGAACAUAUGUUACAAUACAUUACCCUUCUAGGAAUGAUAAUGGAGACAUGUUAUAAUACAUUACUCCUCUAGGAAUGAUAAUGGAGACAUGUUAUAAUACAUUACUCCUCUAGGAAUGAUAAUGAGAUGUUAUAAUACAUUACUCCUCUAGGAAUGAUAUAAUGAGAUAUGUUAUAAUACAUUACUCCUCUAGGAAUGAUAAUGAGAUACAUGUUAUAAUACAUUACUCCUCUAGGAAUGAUAAUGAGAUGUUAUAAUACAUUACUCCUCUAGGAAUGAUAUAAUGAGACAUGGACCAGACAACAGCCUCAUCAGUACAACAGGAAGUGAAUUUAACAGAAUCCUCAGUAAACACCCAACUUAUAUAAACCACAAAACAAUCAAUCACAGAAACGCCUCUCCUUGUUCACAGUAAACACAGAGGGUCAUCACCCCCCCCCCCCUAACCUCUGACCCCUAACCUCUAAUACCUGACUGUCUGGUCAUCACCCCCCCCCUAACCUCUGACCCCUAACCUCUAAUACCUGACUGUCUGGUCAUCACCCCCCCCCCCCCCCCUCUAA
rnacentral:lncRNA from 1 species